rnacentral:rRNA from 1 species
UACGGGGGGAGCAAGCGUUGUUCGGAUUUACUGGGCGUAAAGGGCGCGUAGGCGGCCAGCACAAGUCAGUUGUGAAAUCUCCGAGCUUAACUCGGAAAGGUCAACUGAUACUGUGCGGCUAGAGUGCGGAAGGGGCAACUGGAAUUCUUGGUGUAGCGGUGAAAUGCGUAGAUAUCUGGAGGAACACCGGUGGCGAAGGCGGCAUCCUGGACCAAUUCUGACGCUGAGGAGCGAAAGCCAGGGGAGCAAACGGG